rnacentral:snoRNA from 1 species
AUUCAAAGAUUUUUUUUUUUUUUUAAAGCAGGGGAACAUUUGCUAUAUUAAGAUCACACGUGUGUCUCUAGACCUAGUUCUUUCUCUAGGUCUGGUUUUAUAAAGACUGGUGGUAAAC